CUCUGUUUCAUUUUCUGUUUGGAUCCAGCUUCAAUUUUUUGUUUAUGGAUUUUUUUUGCAUCUUUGAGUCCUUAGCUUGGAUUAUAUGAAGUUUCCUCUGUUUUUAAAUUCACGUUGUUUCCUUUCUUCGUUUUAACCACUCUCCAUUUGAUCAAUACAAAUUUUCCAGCAAUAAACUUAGAAAUCAUCGAAGACAGUAAUUGAAUCCAAUAAAGAAUAAAAUCAAAUUGUUUUUGAACCAUGUAUCCAUAUUUUCCGGUAAAGGAAGAGUACCCGAGUUCAAGUUAUUCACAGUCCGAAGAAGACCCGUCAAUGAUGAUGCCGCCACCACCUCAGCCGAUGGAGGGUCUCCAUGAUUCAGGGCCACCGCCAUUUCUUACUAAAACCUUUGACAUGGUGGACGAUCCUAAUACUAAUUACAUAGUUUCUUGGAGCAGAGGAGGCAGCAGCUUUGUUGUAUGGGAUCCUCACUCUUUCUCCAUUAAUCUCCUCCCUAGAUUUUUCAAGCACAAUAAUUUCUCUAGUUUUGUUAGGCAGCUGAAUACUUACUUUACUUCACGACUGCUCCUGGAUGAAAGUCUUUCUGGGUUUUCUCAAAUUCGUUUUAGAAAGAUUGAUCCAGACAAGUGGGAGUUUGCCAAUGAAGGGUUUCUGAGGGGCCAGAAGCAUCUCCUGAAGAACAUUAGGAGAAGAAGGACCACAUCUCAGCCCUCACCGUCUCAACAAGCUCUUGGUCCCUGCGUUGAAGUUGGCAGGUUUGGACUAGACGGAGAAGUUGAUCGUUUGAGGCGCGACAAGCAGGUCCUAAUGAUGGAAUUAAUGAAGCUAAGACAGCAGCAACAGAACACUCGAAGCUAUCUGCAGGCCUUGGAAGAAAGGCUGCAAGGCACAGAAAAGAAGCAGCAACAGAUGAUGUCUUUCUUGGCUAGAGCAAUGAAGAAUCCUGCCUUUCUACAGCAGCUAAUCCAACAAAAAGAGCAGAGAAAGGAGCUUGAAGAAGCAAUGUCUAAGAAAAGGAGGCGGCCAAUUGAUAAAGGACCUACUGGUGUUGAUGUGGGUGAAUCAAGCCAAGGUAGCGAGGGAAUAAAUCCUGUUAAAACUGAACCUUUAGAAUUUGGUGAUUAUGGAUACCAGGUAACAGAGUUGGAAGCACUUGCACUGGAAAUGCAAGGCUAUGGUAGGGCAAGAAGGGAACAAGAGGAAGCACAAGAUGAGCUCCAAAAUAGGGAGAGUUAUGACAAAGAUCUCGAUGAAGGAUUUUGGGAAGAAUUAUUGAAUGAAAGAUUUGAAGGAGAGUUAGAUGUACCGGGAACUGAAGCUGGUGAAGAUGAAGAUGUGAAUGUAUUGGCUGAUCGGUUGGGUUAUUUGGGUUCAAGUCCAAAGUAAGAGAAACUGAACAUCUAGAUUCUAUAGCAUUGCUAGUUGUAAGGGCCCGUUCAGCAUUCCCUCGGAUAGGGGCAAUUACAUACCAAGACCGUAUCCCGUGGAAAAUCUCUCGUCACUGGUGUUUCUAACCCUGUUUUCUUCAUCUGCCAUUCCAUUUUUCCCUUUUGUAUUUCCUUUGCCGCUUAUCUUUCUCUAUCUUUGGUUAGGAGAGCAGCUGUAGAUCAGAAUCUGUGGUAACACUAGUCCCUC